rnacentral:rRNA from 1 species
UACGUAGGGUGCGAGCGUUAAUCGGAAUUACUGGGCGUAAAGCGCACGUAGGCGGCUUGGUAUGUCGGGUGUGAAAUCCCCGGGCUCAACCUGGGAACUGCAUCCGAAACUGCCUUGCUCGAGUAUGGGAGAGGGAAGUGGAAUUUCCGGUGUAGCGGUGAAAUGCGUAGAGAUCGGGAAGAACAUCGGUGGCGAAGGCGCUCUACUGGACGGUGACUGACGCUGAGGCGCGAAAAGCGUGGGGGAGCAAACGGGG